UACGGGAGGCAGCAGUGGGGAAUAUUGCACAAUGGGCGAAAGCCUGAUGCAGCUAUGCCGCGUGUAUGAAGAAGGCCUUAGGGUUGUAAAGUACUUUCAUCGGGGAGGAAAAAACAAAACUAAUAAUUUUAUUUCUUGACGUUACCCGAAAAAGAAGCACCGGCUAACUCCGUGCCAGCAGCCGCGGUAAUACGGAGGGUGCUAGCGUUAAUCAGAAUUACUGGGCGUAAAGAGCACGUAGGUGGUUUUUUUAAGUCAGAUGUGAAAUCCCUGGGCUUAACCUAGGAACUGCAUUUUGAAACUGAAAUACUAGAGUAUCGUAGAGGGAGGUAGAAUUCUAGGUGUAGCGGUGAAAUGCGUAGAUAUCUGGAGGAAUACCUGUGGCGAAAGCGGCCUCCUAAACGAAUACUGACACUGAGGGUGCGAAAGCGUGGGGAGCGAAACAGGGAUUAGAUACC
rnacentral:rRNA from 1 species